GGCACGGUGGUAGAGUGGUCUAACGAGUGAGACUUGAACUAAAUCAUUCGUUUACGGUGUUCCGUUUACGGCAUCUCGUUCACGGUAUCUCAUAUCUGCGGACGCGCAGGUUCGAAUCCUGCCCGUGUCG
rnacentral:tRNA from 1 species